rnacentral:tRNA from 1 species
GCCACCUUAGCUCAGCUGGUAGAGCGCGUCUUUCGUAAAGACGAUGUCCCCGGUUCGAAUCCGGGAGGUGGCUCAA